rnacentral:rRNA from 1 species
AACGAACGCUGGCGGCAUGCCUAACACAUGCAAGUCGAACGAAACCUUCCGGUCUUUUGGCGCACGGCUGCGGAACGCGGGGUAAUCUACCCUUGAGUUCCGAAUACCAGUUUGAAACGACUGCUAAUGCCACUUGGGGACGUAAGUCCAAAGAUGUAUUGCCCAGGGAUGAGCCCGCGUAGGAUUAGCUGGUUGGUGGGGUAAUGGCCUACCAAGGCGAGGAUCCUUAGCUGGUCUGAGAGGAUGAUCAGCCACACUGGGAAUGAGACACGGCCUAGACUCCUACGGGAGGGAGGAGUGGGGAAUAUUGGAGAAUGGGCGAAAGUCUGAUACAGCAAUGUCGGGUGAGUGAUGAAGGCCUUAGGGUUGUAAAGCUCUUUUACCCGGGAUGAUAAUGACAGUACCGGGUGAAUAAGCCCCGGCUAACUCCGUG